rnacentral:rRNA from 1 species
CCUACGGGUCGCACCAGUGGGGAGUAUUGCACAAUGGGCGCAAGCCUGAUGCAGCCAUGCCGCGUGUAUGAAGAAGGCCUUCGGGUUGUAAAGUACUUUCAGCGGGGAGGAAGGCGAUAAGGUUAAUAACCAUGUCGAUUGACGUUACCCGCAGAAGAAGCACCGGCUAACUCCGUGCCAGCAGCCGCGGUAAUACGGAGGGUGCAAGCGUUAAUCGGAAUUACUGGGCGUAAAGCGCACGCAGGCGGUCUGUCAAGUCGGAUGUGAAAUCCCCGGGCUCAACCUGGGAACUGCAUUCGAAACUGGCAAGCUAGAGUCUUGUAGAGGGGGGUAGAAUUCCAGGUGUAGCGGUGAUAUGCGUAGAGAUCUGGAGGAAUACCGGUGGCGAAGGCGGCCCCCUGGACAAAGACUGACGCUCAGGUGCGAAAGCGUGGGGAGCAAACAGGAUUAGAUACCCCCGUAGUC